UUCUUCUUGCACGGAAGAAAAUCUUAGGUGACAUUUGUGGAAGAGGACGUACAUGUCUCACUACUUGCUAAAUUAGGACAACCACCCAGUCAUCACUCUCCAGUUCUUGGAACUCUCUUCCAAUGGUAGACCUCAAGAUCAUUCAUUUCAACCAUGGCAUAUGAUGUUUAAAAAUCAUCUGUAUAAGAUGCUAACCUACUAGAACUAUUAACUGAAAGAAUCCACACAAACAGCUAUAAUUUAUGCAAUGAAAUAAUGGGAGAGCCCUAAAUCCAACAGCCCAUUUUGCUUAUCUGUGGCUCUGACCCUGACCCUGCGUGCUCUAGCUACUGAGAUGAUGUUGGCAAAGGUGACCAAGAAAAAUAUGAAACAAUCCCCUGGAUCAGAGGGGAUGAUUUUUUCACACUACUCUGCCCAACAAUUUGGUAAGUGUUUGAGGUUAUGCUCUUUUCUUCCCAUGUCACCUCACCUGUUUCUCUCUGCUUGGCACCAUUCUUAAAUAAUUUAUUCUUUCAUUCUCUCAUUCGUUUAUUCAUCUUUUCAGCAAAUGUUUAUCAGAUUGUGCUACUUGUCAGUCACUGUGCUUGACUGCAAGGAUACGGAGAUGAACAAGGCAGACAGGGACCUUGCUCGCACGGGCUUUCUAUUUUGUGGAGAAGAGACAACUAAAUAAUUUAAUUCCAGAGGAUGUGAGAAAUACAGGAGACAGGAUUGUGCUGUGCUGUGGGAGGCACCUAAGUAGGUUUGGACAAUUUGAGAAAAACUUUAUUUCUUGUUCACAUUCCCAAAUUAUUUGAUCCUCUGUAAGUUUCUAUUUCCUUAGACAUCUCGGACUGUACUAAUUUCCUAUCGACACUGUAGUAAAUUACCACUAAUUUUUGGCUUAAAAAAACAGAACUGUAUUCUCUUAUAGUU
rnacentral:lncRNA from 1 species